rnacentral:rRNA from 1 species
UACGAAGGGGGCUAGCGUUGCUCGGAAUUACUGGGCGUAAAGGGCGCGUAGGCGGAUACUUAAGUCGGGGGUGAGAGCCCGGGGCUCAACCUCGGAAUUGCCUUCGAUACUGGGUAUCUUGAGUUCGGGAGAGGUGAGUGGAAUGCCGAGUGUAGAGGUGAAAUGCGUAGAUAUCAGGAGGAACACCUGUGGCGAAAGCGGCUCACUGGACCAUAACUGACGCUGAUGCACGAAAGCUAGGGGAGCAAACAGG